rnacentral:rRNA from 1 species
CCUGGCUCCCGUAAGGGCUGGCGGCGCGCCUAACACAUGCAAGGCGAACCAUAGAGAGGGAGCUUGCUUCCUUGAUCGAGUGGCGAACGGGUGAGUAACGCGUGAGGAACCUGCCUCAAAGAGGGGGACAACAGUUGGAAACGACUGCUAAUACCGCAUAAGCCCACGACCCGGCAUCGGGAAGAGGGAAAAGGAGCAAUCCGCUUUGAGAUGGCCUCGCGUCCGAUUAGCUAGUUGGUGAGGUAACGGCCCACCAAGGCGACGAUCGGUAGCCGGACUGAGAGGUUGAACGGCCACAUUGGGACUGAGACACGGCCCAGACUCCUACGGGAGGCAGCAGUGGGGAAUAUUGCACAAUGGGGGAAACCCUGAUGCAGCGACGCCGCGUGGAGGAAGAAGGUCUUCGGAUUGUAAACUCCUGUUGUUGAGGAAGAUAAUGACGGUACUCAACAAGGAAGUGACGGCUAACUACGUGCCAGCAGCCGCGGUAAAACGUAGGUCACAAGCGUUGUCCGGAAUUACUGGGUGUAAAGGGAGCGCAGGCGGGCGAUCAAGUUGGAAGUGAAAUCCAUGGGCUCAACCCAUGAACUGCUUUCAAAACUGGUCGUCUUGAGUAGUGCAGAGGUAGGCGGAAUUCCCGGUGUAGCGGUGGAAUGCGUAGAUAUCGGGAGGAACACCAGUGGCGAAGGCGGCCUACUGGGCACCAACUGACGCUGAGGCUCGAAAGUGUGGGUAGCAAACAGGAUUAGAUACCCUGGUAGUCCACACCGUAAACGAUGAUUACUAGGUGUUGGGAGAUUGACCCUCUCAGUGCCGCAGUUAACACAAUAAGUAAUCCACCUGGGGAGUACGACCGCAAGGUUGAAACUCAAAGGAAUUGACGGGGGCCCGCACAAGCAGUGGAGUAUGUGGUUUAAUUCGACGCAACGCGAAGAACCUUACCAAGUCUUGACAUCCUCUGACGAACGUAGAAAUACGUUUUCUCUUCGGAGCAGAGAGACAGGUGGUGCAUGGUUGUCGUCAGCUCGUGUCGUGAGAUGUUGGGUUAAGUCCCGCAACGAGCGCAACCCUUAUGGUCAGUUACUACGCAAGAGGACUCUGGCCAGACUGCCGUUGACAAAACGGAGGAAGGUGGGGAUGACGUCAAAUCAUCAUGCCCUUUAUGACUUGGGCUACACACGUACUACAAUGGCGUAAACAAAGAGAAGCAAGC